rnacentral:rRNA from 1 species
UACGGAGGGUGCAAGCGUUGUUCGGAUUCACUGGGCGUAAAGGGUGCGCAGGUGGGCUGGUAAGUUCGAUGUGAAAGCCCCGGGCUUAACCCGGGAAAGGCAUUGGAUACUACUGGUCUGGAGGAUUGGAGGGGGGACUGGAAUUCUUGGUGUAGCAGUGAAAUGCGUAGAUAUCAAGAGGAACACCAGUGGCGAAGGCGAGUCCCUGGACAAUUCCUGACACUGAGGCACGAAAGCCAAGGGAGCAAACAGG